rnacentral:rRNA from 1 species
GCCUAACACAUGCAAGUCGAACGGGACUUAAUGGAAUGCGACUUCGGUCAAAUGAAAUUAAGUUUAGUGGCGAACGGGUGAGUAACGCGUGAGGAACCUGCCUUCCAGUGGGGGACAACAGUUGGAAACGACUGCUAAUACCGCAUAACAUAUUCGGACCGCAUGAUCUGAAUAUCAAAGCUUUAUGUGCUGGAAGAUGGCCUCGCGUCUGAUUAGCUAGUUGGUGGGGUAACGGCCCACCAAGGCGACGAUCAGUGGCCGGUCCGAGAAGAUGAACGGCCACAUUGGGACUGAGAUACGGCCCAGACUCCUACGGGAGGCAGCAGUGUGGAAUAUUGGGCAAUGGGGGAAACCCUGACCCAGCAACGCCGCGUGAAGGAAGAAGGCCUUCGGGUUGUAAACUUCUUUUACCAGGGACGAAGAACGUGACGGUACCUGGAGAAAAAGCAACGGCUAACUACGUGCCAGCCGCCGCGGUAAAAC